UUCGGGAGGAAGACCAACAGGGAUUGCCCUAGUAACGGCGAGUGAAGCGGCAACAGCUCAAAUUUGAAAUCUGGCUCUUUUAGGGUCCGAGUUGUAAUUUGCAGAGGGCGCUUUGGCGUUGGCAGCGGUCCAAGUUCCUUGGAACAGGACGUCACAGAGGGUGAGAAUCCCGUACGUGGUCGCUGGCCUUCGCCGUGUAAAGCCCCUUCGACGAGUCGAGUUGUUUGGGAAUGCAGCUCUAAAUGGGAGGUAAAUUUCUUCUAAAGCUAAAUACUGGCCAGAGACCGAUAGCGCACAAGUAGAGUGAUCGAAAGAUGAAAAGCACUUUGGAAAGAGAGUCAAAUAGCACGUGAAAUUGUUGAAAGGGAAGCGCUUGCAGCCAGACUUGCCUGUAGUUGCUCAUCCGGGCUUUUGCCCGGUGCACUCUUCUGCGGGCAGGCCAGCAUCAGUUUGGGCGGUUAGAUAAAGGUCUCUGUCAUGUACCUCUCUUCGGGGAGGCCUUAUAGGGGAGACGACAUGUAACCAGCCUGGACUGAGGUCCGCGCAUUUGCUAGGAUGCUGGCGUAAUGGCUGUAAGCGGCCCGUCUUGAAACACGGACCAAGGAGUCUAACAUCUAUGCGAGUGUUUGGGUGUCAAGCCCGAGCGCGCAAUGAAAGUGAACGGAGGUGGGAACCCUUUAGGGUGCACCAUCGACCGAUCCUGAUGUCUUCGGAUGGAUUUGAGUAAGAGCAUGGCUGUUGGGACCCGAAAGAUGGUGAACUAUGCUUGAAUAGGGUGAAGCCAGAGGAAACUCUGGUGGAGGCUCGCAGCGGUUCUGACGUGCAAAUCGAUCGUCAAAUUUGGGCAUAGGGGCGAAAGACUAAUCGAACUAUCUAGUAGCUGGUUCCUGCCGAGUUUCCCCCUCUUGGA
rnacentral:rRNA from 1 species